AAUGCCAGAACCAAGAGAUCAGUGGUGAAAGUUUUAAUUUUUAAGGAUAAUCACUUAGAUAAUCACAUAGAACAAGAGUUUAGCAGUUUCUUGCGGGUAGGCCCGGCAGGGAGGGUCCCCUUUAGGUGGCCCCUCGCGGGCCUACCCGGCAGUUUUUGUGGUAUGGCCUUUUUCCCUUGAGAGGGUGGAACGCGUAACAACCUUUCCCGGAGUUUGAAGGAUAGACGGGACAAGGUCUCCGUUGGUGAACCAGCGGAGGGAUCAUUACAGAGUUAUCUAACUCCCAAAACCAUGUGAACUUACCUAUGUUGCCUCGGCGGGGAAGCCUACCCGGUACCUACCCUGUAGUUACCCGGGAGCGAGCUACCCUGUAGCCCGCUGCUGGCCUACCCGCCGGUGGACUGCUAAACUCUUGUUUUUUAGUGAUUAUCUGAGUGUUUAUACUUAAUAAGUUAAAACUUUCAACAACGGAUCUCUUGGUUCUGGCAUCGAUGAAGAACGCAGCGAAAUGCGAUAAGUAAUGUGAAUUGCAGAAUUCAGUGAAUCAUCGAAUCUUUGAACGCACAUUGCGCCCAUUAGUAUUCUAGUGGGCAUGCCUGUUCGAGCGUCAUUUCAACCCUCAAGCCCUAGUUGCUUGGUGUUGGGAGCCUAUCUUCGGAUAGCUCCUCAAAACCAUUGGCGGAGUCGCGAUGGCCCCAAGCGUAGUAAUUUUUAUUCGCUUCCGGUGUGUCAACGCUGGCGUCCAGCCGUUAAACCCCCUAUUGUGUGUAGUAAAGACCUCAGGAUCAACUUAACAUACCGAAAUC
rnacentral:rRNA from 1 species